rnacentral:rRNA from 1 species
UACGAAGGGGGCGAGCGUUGUUCGGAUUUACUGGGCGUAAAGGGCGCGCAGGCGGCAGACCAAGUCAGGGGUGAAAUCCUGGAGCUCAACUCCAGAACUGCCCUUGAUACUGGCGGUCUCGAGUCCGGGAGAGGUGAGUGGAACUGCGAGUGUAGAGGUGAAAUUCGUAGAUAUUCGCAAGAACACCAGUGGCGAAGGCGGCUCACUGGCCCGGUACUGACGCUGAGGUGCGAAAGCGUGGGGAGCAAACAGG